UACGAAGGGGGCUAGCGUUGUUCGGAUUUACUGGGCGUAAAGCGCACGUAGGCGGAUUGGUCAGUUAGGGGUGAAAUCCUGGAGCUCAACUCCAGAACUGCCUUUAAUACUGCCAGUCUCGAGUCCGGUAGAGGUAAGUGGAACUCCUAGUGUAGAGGUGGAAUUCGUAGAUAUUAGGAAGAACACCAGUGGCGAAGGCGGCUUACUGGUCCGGUACUGACGCUGAGGUGCGAAAGCGUGGGGAGCAAACAGG
rnacentral:rRNA from 1 species